AACAUAUGUAUGUUACAUGCUUGUGUAACAGUGACUCUUCCUAGUCUACUAAGAAUGGGUUACAAAUGCCUCAGGAUAGCUAUGCCCAGCCUGGCUGGAGGCUCUCAAGGGCUGCACCCAAGUAUCCUCCUGCAGUGAGCAGCUGACUCAAGUCACCACAGUGUGCUUGCUGUAUAAAUGUUAUUUUUCGUGAGUGUUGACAGGAAAAAGGUUAGGAUGAACCACUGUGUUCAGUACAUAACGCUACAGUUGCAGUCUUGUCACUGAUUCUUGUAAAUACCGAAUUUUUAAAAAAUCUCUUACUUUUUUUGAACAAAGUAGAGUAUAAACUAUAGGGUUUAUUUCUUCUUCAAUACUAGUACUAUUGAAAACACAACUGCUAACAUAAAAGGAUCGUUUUCUAAUUUUAGACACUUCUUACUCGGGAGAAGUUAUCUUGAUUACCCAGCUUUUUUCCUUAUAGUUUCUUGCAGAACAUAAAUUAUUAGGAAACAUUAAAAAUGUGGCCAAGACAGCUAACAAGGACCACUUGGUUACAGCCUAUAACCAUCUUUUUGAAACUAAGCGUUUUAAGGGUACUGAAAGUAUAAGUAAAGUGUCUGAGCAAGUAAAAAAUGUGAAGCUUAAUGAAGAUAAACCCAAAGAAACCAAGUCUGAAGAGACCCUGGAUGAGGGUCCACCAAAAUAUACUAAAUCUGUUUUGAAA
rnacentral:sRNA from 1 species